CGCAGCAUGAUGCAGUGAUUUCGUAUACACGUAGAAGGACAUUCGUCGACCUCGCUGCUCGUACCGUGUCCAGUGAAGGUCGAGGACGAGGGUGCAUUCCUGCAGGAUACAUCCGUGUAUAUAUUGUCAUCAAUGUGCCUCGAUCACGUGUUCAAAUAUUGAACAUACCGAAAUUAUAAUUCGGGUGGACAUCGUCGUUGUGACUCGUCACCACCACCAUACACGUCACCGCCGACCAUCACGACUACCGCGACAACUUCGAUGUGUCGUCUCGCCACCAUUAUAAUAUAACCAUUUCACCGGACGCAUGCAGAUUAUGUUUUCAAUAUUAUUUUAAUAAAAUUCGGUUAGGUGCAUGGCCAUCUUUUUGCGCUGUAAUUCAUGCUUUACAUCUACGAAGACUAUAUCGCCCGAGAUUUCCUUAAAAGAUUCUGAGAAAUUAAAUACGUCUUUUUCGUUCUGCACACAAAUUUCACGGUGCGCGAGGAUCAAAGGGAUUUGUAGUCUACGUAUUCUUUUUUUAUUCUAAUGUGCGCACAUACAAAUCACACGUGAGCUACGAUGAGUAUUCUUCGAACACCGAAAAUAGUCGCAUCGUUAUGUAAUAUACAAUAUUAUACUGCACCUUAAUCGCAUUGCUCCCAAGUGCGUACAUAUACGCUUAUAUAUAUAUACGAUAAGCGCUUGCACGCGUAAUAAAUACGAACGUAAGUGUAACUGCACAGCGGGCGUGAGCGAUAAAUAACAGUUUUUGUUUCUCCGUCUCUCUCUAUAUAUAUAUUAUAUACAUAUAUAUAUAUAUAUGUAUAUGUAUUAUAAUUAUAUUAUAUGUGCACCGUUCGUGCAGUUCACUCGUUUUGAACGCGACUCGUGCAGUGUGAAUAAUAGAUAUAUAUUAUCCUAUUUUUUUCUGGCUCGCGGGACCGACGGUCCGCCAAAUGCUUGCAGACGUCGUCGCAAUAAACUCUCUCGCGGCGGGCGCGGGGCGUGUUCCGCGUGCAGUGCUAUAAUAUGCGUCGUGUCAAAGGCUGCGUACAGGAUGAGGUACUGAUGCAGUACGAGAGACGAAUAUAAAAAAAAAAUCUCGUCUGGCUGCGUUCCAAAUUCGAAACAGAACAAAAAAAUUAAAACCGUAUACCACCCGACGUUAGAGCGAGUGUAUAAUAUAAUACUAUACGGCAUAUAUUUACAUAACAUAAAAAUAAUAAUAUAUUAUAUAUUUAUACAUUAUACAUCAUGUGAUAUCGAAAAUCGUCUAUGCCGAAAAAAUCACCGACGAAAUGGGUAACCUACCGUAGUGCACAAUAUGGUAUAAUAAUAAUCGACAGCAUUCAUAAUAAUAUGACGGUCGUAUAUUAUGUACAUUACAAGCGAAAUUCAAAUUUGUAUACAUACGAUAUACAUACGUCUUGUACCAUAGAGUGUGAUAAGACGACUGGUGAGGGGUGGUUCGCAUUUGGAUAAUUUUAACCACAUAUAACUACAUUUUUUUGGGUAAAAUAUAGAUAUAGAUAUCUAUAGUAUAUUAUAGUUUAGAAAGUCGAUUACAUACUGUAGGAUCCCUUAUUAUAAAUGUUUAUAGAACUGUUAAAAUAUGAAGUAUUAUAUAUAGAUGUGACAUUUUGUAUAUUAUUUUUUUAAUAAGACAUCUAUGGGCGUGAUGAUUAAUGAGUACUGGUCAAACGAUCCGGGAAAGUGAAGUGAUUAGGUACCUAAAUGUUAACUCAUUAGGCACUGCCAGAAAAACUAUUUACAAUCUAGCUGGUUUGUCAAUAUUUAAAUACUUAUACAAUUGCACGAACAAAAAAACCUAGGAAGUAGCUUUUUCGUAUAAUAUAGGUCUUGAAUUUUACGAAUGUACGUAUUGAGUAGGUACCACUAUUUUUUAUAUAUUAGACUCUAUUUUCAGUGAACACUUGAUAAGUGUAGUAAAUAAAUUAACGAGUACACACAAAUUAGAUAUAAUAGGUAUAUAAAGUAUAUUCACUUGUCUUAAAACAAUUAUGAACUGAAGGUGUUUUUCUGGAAACAAGUCCAAGCAAAAAGAAUUGUGUAGAGUCAAAUCCCGAAUCAAAUAAUUUUUGUAUCAAACAUUCUGCAUACAAUCUAUAGUAACUGUUAAUUAUUUUUUAUUUCAUAAAUAUGCAUACAAAGUAAUAAUAAUUUAACUAUACAACCAGGGUUUGAUAAAAACUAAAUAAUAUUUUUUACUAAAGCAUCUAUAUUCUAUUAUCUAUACUAUAGAUUCUAUAGUAUAUACUGUAUAAAGUAUACUUGUUAAAUGCGUCAUGCCAAUAAUUUUGGAAUUUUUCUAAUGACAAAACGUCGUAUAAAUAAUAAUUAUAAUUAUGUAUACAAACUUAAAAUAUUAAGCAUUAAAACAUUAUUUUACAUUUAACAUGCAUUAUUGUAACGAUAAUAUAUAUAUAUAAAAAAUGAUGUUAACAUUGUAGUGCGAAUCGCUGAAAAAUAACAAACAGGUUUUUUGAAAAUUAAAUAUUAUGUAUAAGACUUUUAGAUAAAAUAAACACAUAUAGGUAAACAGGUUUAAGGUAAAAAAUCUAUUCGCUUUAAUGUUACUAAUUUCUUUCAAUUUUCGGUUGCCCGAUUAUCUUACGACUAAAUUAUAAAAAGAAAAUAUAUACAGUGGUAUUUUAUAAUCUUAUAAUGUGCAUAAUCUCCAUAAUAUAGAACGUCAUUUUUUAAUUUUUUUUUUCUCUUUUCCUAUCAAAUUUACUACGUCAUUAUUUGUAUUGGCGUUUCACGAUAUUAUCAUCACGGUGGAAUCUGAUUAGGACAUUUUCAAUCUGGUAGUCGCAAUAUACGACGUAGAUACUUAAAUAUUGAAUACCAGAAUACGUUCGAGGACCACUGCAAACAAUCGCAACACAAACAAGAUUUCAUUCGGAGGUGACCUUUGCUAUGCGUAUUUGUAUAAUAUAUGUAUGUUAUGUAUUUAUACGGUCGGUAGUCGAGGAUGGUCGCGCGUGACUAGUCGUCGGUUAGCCGAGGAGGACGACCAUCUACACAUUUUGUCGAAAACAAACCUGAUGCGUGGAAUUUCGUCAGAAGAAUCAAAAUUAGCGAGGAAAAUGUCCGUACACGUUUCCCGUGUAUAAUUAUUACACAAACGCCAUGCGCCCACACGUACAACUACCGACAUGUAAAGAUAUUUGGAACAAUUUCUUGGAAACUCAGACGCCGUGAGAUGUACUGUACGCACUCGACCACUACCAUCACAAUAAUAAUAUUAUGCCAUGCACAACGGACGGGACCAUUUUAAUCCAAAAAAUUAUUAUUAUGUAUUUUUUUUUUUUAAUAUUAAAAUCGCUUAUUUUAUUUGUGUAAAGUAUGAAAAAUAUUGUAUUUAAUUUGUGUGUUCUGAUGCAAUAUUACCAAAAAAAUGAAUCAAA